GUUUGUGUGGAUGGUGUUCAGUACCAAGGACAGGUUUGUGUAGAUGGUGUUCAGUACCAAGGACAGGUUUGUGUAGAU
rnacentral:pre_miRNA from 1 species